GGGGAGUGGAGCUACAUGCAGUCGAGCGGUAACAGAAAGUAGCUUGCUACUUUGCUGACGAGCGGCGGACGGGUGAGUAAUGCUUGGGAACAUGCCUUGAGGUGGGGGACAACAGUUGGAAACGACUGCUAAUACCGCAUAAUGUCUACGGACCAAAGGGGGCUUCGGCUCUCGCCUUUAGAUUGGCCCAAGUGGGAUUAGCUAGUUGGUGAGGUAAUGGCUCACCAAGGCAACGAUCCCUAGCUGGUUUGAGAGGAUGAUCAGCCACACUGGAACUGAGACACGGUCCAGACUCCUACGGGAGGCAGCAGUGGGGAAUAUUGCACAAUGGGCGAAAGCCUGAUGCAGCCAUGCCGCGUGUGUGAAGAAGGCCUUCGGGUUGUAAAGCACUUUCAGUCAGGAGGAAAGGGUGUGAGUUAAUACCUCACAUCUGUGACGUUACUGACAGAAGAAGCACCGGCUAACUCCGUGCCAGCAGCCGCGGUAAUACGGAGGGUGCGAGCGUUAAUCGGAAUUACUGGGCGUAAAGCGUACGCAGGCGGUUUGUUAAGCGAGAUGUGAAAGCCCCGGGCUCAACCUGGGAACUGCAUUUCGAACUGGCAAACUAGAGUGUGAUAGAGGGUGGUAGAAUUUCAGGUGUAGCGGUGAAAUGCGUAGAGAUCUGAAGGAAUACCGAUGGCGAAGGCAGCCACCUGGGUCAACACUGACGCUCAUGUACGAAAGCGUGGGGAGCAAACGGGAUUAGAUACCCCGGUAGUCCACGCCGUAAACGAUGUCUACUAGAAGCUCGGAACCUCGGUUCUGUUUUUCANAGCUAACGCAUUAAGUAGACCGCCUGGGGAGUACGGC
rnacentral:rRNA from 1 species